rnacentral:sRNA from 1 species
AUGAGGCAUUUUUGAAUAAGUCAGAAGAAUGGAUAAGAAAGAUGCUUCAUCUUAGGAAACAGUUAUUAUCUCUGACUAAUCAGUGUUUUGAUAUUGAAGAAGAAGUAUCAAAAUAUCAAGAAUAUACUAAUGAGUUACAAGAAACUCUGCCUCAGAAAAUGUUUACAGCUUCCAGUGGAAUCAAACAUACCAUGACCCCAAUUUAUCCAAGUUCUAACACAUUAGUAGAAAUGACUCUUGGGUAAGAAACUCAUCAUUUGGAAACUGUAGUGUUUCCAUUUGCUUUCAUUGCAGUUUGUGCUUUUGCUUUUACAUUUUGAAAUUUUUUAUGUUUGUUGUAAUACAAUAUUUAAUAAGGUUAUUUAUUGACCAGUUAAAAGAAAAUAAAACAUAAACAUCAUUCUAAAA